GUCCUCUUUUCUGUCAUAUGGUGAUAAUGGU
rnacentral:piRNA from 1 species